rnacentral:rRNA from 1 species
AUGAAGGCAGCAUUAAAAACUAUCCUCCCACAAACUCUGCAUAAGCCGUGUCAAUGGCAUAUCAUGAAGAAGUACAAAGACCACCUCGCCUUGCUGUAUAAGGCGCACGAGAAGCUCAAGGACGAACUCAAUGCAAUGCUGAACCACCCACUAAUGCCGUCAGAAUUUGAACGAGCAUGGAAGAACCUUAUUCAGAGGUACAACUUGCAAGACGACAAAGUGAUGAAUUCGCUGUGGGAUGACAGGCAUGAGUGGAUCUCGGCUUACUACAAGGAAAUCUUAUGUGCUUGGAUGACUUCCACACACAGAAGCGAGAGCAUGAACCGCAUACUGAAGAAAAUUUUUGUUAGGGAGAAGCAUGAUCUCUAUCUGUUUGCUCAGCAGGUGGAUAAGUGCAUUCAGACUAGGAAGGCCGUCGAGCACGCAGAGACAGUAGCAAAUGAGUCAGAGGUAAAAACAACAACAAAGUUUGGGUUCGAAAUUCAGCUAUCAAAAGUGUAUACAAGGGCAGUGUUUGCAGAUUUCAAAGAAGCACUCUACAGUAGCACUGCAUUCAGAGCAGAACGGUGCCCUGAGAACCCGACAAAGUACCUCGUACACCACUACAACAGAUCGGAUGCAUUUGACUGGGCAAGGCAUAAUUUCCAAGUGGUCGCCGAUGAAGAGAAAGGUGUCUACGAAUGUGAGUGCAAACUCUGGACACACACGGGCCUCUUUUGCGUCCAUGUCUUAUGCAUGCUUUCUCAUUUGAGAGUACUCAACAUUCCUGAGGUGUACAUCAUGAAAAUAUACACCCGUAACGCAAGAUCAGAUGCAACGUUUGACAGAAGAGACUACGAACAAACAACACCAGAUGGGACCUCGUAUUUUUGCCAUAGAAAAUUACUGACAGAAAUAGCAAUGGACCUUGCAAAUAGAGCGACAAGGUUCGAU